ACUAUCUUUCUGUUUUCUCCCAGCUGGCCUCUUGAGAAUUCAGUUGCCCGUGGUGCCUUGUAGUAAAUUAGAGCUAACUGGUGGGAAGUGGCUACUGCUCUCGCACAACAUCUCUGCAAGUCUUGAGCAGGUUCUGGGAGACGGGAAGGAAUAGCUACAAACAAGAAGGAGAUCAGGAGCACACUUUCUCCAGAACCUUUCUUUGCUGAAGACUAGGAUGGCCGGUUGCGGGUCAUGUUUCUGGGGCAUCAUCUGGCUGUUGGUUCUGCUCUUCAUUGGCUGGCCCCUAAGCAUCACUUUAGGGGGUCUCUACGGCCUCGUCACACCCCUCACGACCUGCCUUGGCCUUGACCGACUCUCCGAUCUACUCCUGGAGGGGGCCAACCUGGGCCGAACCUGUGCCAAUAACAUGAGGCACGGCAAGCCAUUGUGUUGAGAUUCACACUAAGUGAUCAGGAACAGAGAUCAGAGGCAAGAUUGUUGCUUUUAUUCAAAGAAAAGUCUUUGCUUUGAGGAGAACUGUUAAUGUUUAUGUGGAUAUAUCGUGGGAUGAUUGGCAAUCAAUACAGUGAGAAACUUUUUAGCAAGUUAUGUAACCAAAGGUCCGGAAGGUUCAGAAAAUGGAUUCCACUUGUUCUAUUAACAUGUAAUUAACCACGGAUUUCAAAUUUGUAUGGGUUUGUCAGGAAGAAAAUAGGCUUUGUGUUCAUGGUCUGUGUUUGCUGUUUAAUUCAUGAUGACGCUGCAUGGAGAAGAUAAGAAUGAAAAUGGCAAUUUAACAAUGAAAAUGCUUAGACUUGUAAAUGAAUUAAUGCGAUUAAAACUGCUUUGAACUUGC